AUGUACCCAAGCGCUCAACAUUUCCUUCUCAUUUGACAUACAGCGAACAACCGGCAACAUCAAACACUUAAUCGCACUCUAGGAUAGUCGACAUGAAUUAUGGUUAGGGUCUGCACCAAAAAAUCAGAGAUAUUUGCUUAGGAGAAUUAAAUGAAUUUCGUGUGGGGCGCAUUUGUCCCCCGCAGGAUCCGUGUAGGGUUAAUUAUAUUCAUAGUGUGCGAGGAAAACGCCGUAUAGUGUACUUAUGAUCGCCCAUCAUGCAAGGGAUUACUCCAUCAAAAAAGGCGAAUUUAUAGAUGGAAAAGAUUGUGAGGACCUUUCAGCCUUAUAAAAAGAAUUCGAGUCAACGCCUGCAAGAAGGUUAGUCCAACCUCCAGUAAGGACUGUAGAUUCCGCUUUCGAUAUAACAGAAAGCGAAGAAGAGUGUGGCCCGAAAACACAAGCUAAGGUACGCACCCAAUUUGCUACAACUGCACUAAACAAUCGAGUGAUAUUGGUUGUGCAGAAGCAGACAAUGGAGAAAAACGUGUUUGUCGAACCCAAAAAAAGACCAGCAGACGUACAGAAUGCGACAGUAAAAGCCAAAAAUUGAAAGGAGCAGACACAAAGGUUUUACAGAAAAGUCUUAAUCAGAGUAAAAACCCAGAAGAAAAGGAGAAGACACCUGUAAAGGAUAUGAUGUUGAAAGCUCGAUUGAAAAAAUCAAAAACAACAUAACAAAUGAAUGGCCCAGCGUAGGGUUCAUUAGACACUCUGAUAAGCACAUUCAUCUCGACACAGG